GUCCCGCCGCGGCUGCCGCCGGGCGCUGGGCGGAGACUCCCUUCUCCCAGCCCCGGAGGGUGGGGGACGCUGAGACUCCGCAGCCUCAGCACCGGGGAGCGGCAGGCGCUGGUCCGCGGCUCCAGGGACAGCGGCCGUCCGUGGGCCGGCCUCAGGGGCUGAGGUGCCGGCUGCCGGGGCCGAAGGGAUGACGACGGCCAGGGCACAGUCCGGACGGGUCCUUCGGGUCCCCGGGUGACAAGCCCUGCCCUGUCCCUCGCCCUUCUCCCGCCACCGUGAUGGGUCUGCCGGGUCCGUAGGGUCCCCCGGUGACUUGUCGCCCUGGACCCGCGGGCCUUCGCUGUAAAUGCAAGCAGUUCCCGGCAACCGGCCUUGCUCAGGCGGGCGAGCUGCGCUGCGCUCCGGUGUGGACACCGCCCCGCGGGAGGGCACACCCCGACGAGGGCACACCCCGACGAGGGCACACCCCUUUGAGCUCGCCGCGCAGCUGGGCGUUGGCACCACUGGAGCCCCGCGUCUGGGCGCUCGGGGGUGGGGGAGGGGUGACCCCAAGGCCGCCUCCCCGGGCUGCGGGCGCUCCCCGGCACGACCUCCUUCUCUGGCGAGGGUUUCCCCAGUUACUAAUUGCGCUGUUAGAAUCGGACUGUGCCAGUGAUUUGCAUUCGAGUGACCUGAACGCCAAAGUAGACACUUUCCUAAGUCAUUACCGUUUUGGGGUUUGCUUCGAUUUGGAGAAAGCGCGUUGCUGAGGCCGGAGCGCGGGGAAUCGCGCGUAAACCCCAAAGCGGUGCGGGGCCCGGAGACGCGCCGCGCGUCGCACCCGCCGCCCGCCCGCUGCGGGAGCGCGGCCCGGACCCGCCCGCCGCGGCGAAGGUUGGUGCUGGACGCGAACUCCUCGCCCGGCGCAGCGCCCUGCCCGUCUGCGGGGUCUCCUCCGUCCCGCGUCAGAAGGCGGCGGUCGUGGAGAGAAAACCUCCGUUUCUGUGCAGCUUGCGUAACUGCCAUGAUGCUUCCAUCGGGAACGGCGCAGAGUUCAGAUGCAUGAGCUGCAGCCCCAGUGCUCGCUCGUCACGGGCCCUCCGCACUGCCCACCACCCAGUCACCCCGUCUCCAGUCCCUCCGCUCCGGCAACCCUCAGUUUGCUUCCUAGAGUUCAGUUCCUCUCACGAGAGAGACCACAAGCAGAGGGAACAGGAGAGGGAGAGUCUGUCUCCCCGCUGAGCAGAGAGCGCCAUGUGGGACUCCACACCAGGACCCUGGGAUCAUGACCUGAGCAGAAGGCAGAGGCUUAACCCACUGAGCCACCCUGGUCCCCUGAUGGCUGAAGAAUUUGUCACAUAUUCUGGAUACAGAUCCUUUGCUGGAUGUGUGAUUUGCUGGUAUUUUCUCCCACUUCAGGGGCUCUGUCUGGAGCCUGGAAGUCUGUGGAUUGUGCAAGGGAAGGACAACUAGAAGGUCAAACACAGUAUUUUCUGGAUCGGCCCAAAGAUGAAACAUCUUGGAAAAACACAUCACAUUCGACCUUGGACCCGAGAUGGGAACGCUAAGUGCUUUGAAGCAAGUAGAUUUAUUUGGAUGCCGGAAGGCCCUGCCGAGCUACGCAUACACUGGAUGAUUCUCAGGGAGCAAACAGCGGUCUCACGUGGAAAAUGAGCUGGACGUGGCUCUGCAUCCAGCUCCACAGACCUCAGUAUCCGUCCCUCCACCAGUGCCACACAUGCUCGAUGACAACAGCAAUGCAGUAGGUCUUAGUAUCAGGUAGAAGGAGCCUCUCACUUUAUUCUCCUUCUUCAAGAUUGAUUUAUUGUUUAUUGAUUUAUUAUUUUUUAGCUAUUCUAGGGCCUAUCCUGUGCAUAUUAGUUUAAGUUUAUCUGUGUCUACUAAAAUUCUUUGAGAUUUUGAUGGGAAUUGCAUUAAACUUUUAGAUUAAUUUUGGGA